rnacentral:rRNA from 1 species
ACUCCUACGGGAGGCAGCAGUGGGGAAUAUUGCACAAUGGGGGAAACCCUGAUGCAGCGACGCCGCGUGGAGGAAGAAGGUCUUCGGAUUGUAAACUCCUGUUGUUGAGGAAGAUAAUGACGGUACUCAACAAGGAAGUGACGGCUAACUACGUGCCAGCAGCCGCGGUAAAACGUAGGUCACAAGCGUUGUCCGGAAUUACUGGGUGUAAAGGGAGCGCAGGCGGGAAGACAAGUUGGAAGUGAAAUCUAUGGGCUCAACCCAUAAACUGCUUUCAAAACUGUUUUUCUUGAGUAGUGCAGAGGUAGGCGGAAUUCCCGGUGUAGCGGUGGAAUGCGUAGAUAUCGGGAGGAACACCAGUGGCGAAGGCGGCCUACUGGGCACCAACUGACGCUGAGGCUCGAAAGUGUGGGGAGCAAACAGGAUUAGAUACCCUGGUAGUCCACACCGUAAACGAUGAUUACUAGGUGUUGGAGGAUUGACCCCUUCAGUGCCGCAGUUAACACAAUAAGUAAUCCACCUGGGGAGUACGACCGCAAGGUUGAAACUCAAAGGAAUUGACGGGGGCCCGCACAAGCAGUGGAGUAUGUGGUUUAAUUCGACGCAACGCGAAGAACCUUACCAAGUCUUGACAUCCUGCGACGAUGCUGGAAACAGUAUUUUCCUUCGGGACGCAGAGACAGGUGGUGCAUGGUUGUCGUCAGCUCGUGUCGUGAGAUGUUGGGUUAAGUCCCGCAACGAGCGCAACCCUUACUGUCAGUUACUACGCAAGAGGACUCUGGCAGGACUGCCGUUGACAAAACGGAGGAAGGUGGGGAUGACGUCAAAUCAUCAUGCCCUUUAUGACCUGGGCUACACACGUACUACAAUGGCGUUAAACAAAGAGAAGCAAGACCGCGAGGUGGAGCAAAACUCAGAAACAACGUCCCAGUUCGGACUGCAGGCUGCAACUCGCCUGCACGAAGUCGGAAUUGCUAGUAAUCGCAGAUCAGCAUGCUGCGGUGAAUACGUUCCCGGGCCUUGUACACACCGCCCGUCACACCAUGAGAGCCGGGGGGACCCGAAGUCGGUAGUCUAACCGCAAGGAGGACGCCGCCGAAGGUAAAACUGGUGAUUGGGGUGAAGUCGUAACAAGGUAGCCGUAGGAGAACCUGCGGCUG